GGUUCCAUAGUGUAUUGGUCAUCACUUAUGCUUUACACGCAGAAGGACCUGGGUUCAAUCCCCAGUGGAACCA